GGCAGGGAAGUUUCUUCCCUAUGCAGCCCAAGCCUGUGGUCUUACUUGAUUGGACAGUGUAUGGUAUGAGUGGGGAGGAAGAAGUUUAAACAACGAGGUCCCUUUCAGUGGAGAAGUAGGAACAGUUGAAAUAUUCAAAGAAGGAAAUCCAUUUGAGGUGAUAUUACAAACCCGAAGGCAGGACAGGCAGGAGUAUUCAGGUGACUUUCUCCAUCUAAAAGCUUAAGGCCUUUAAAGUCUUCUCAUCUCCUGGGUAAUACAGGUGAAAAUCCAAACUAGAACUGCAAAAUUUAACCCUUAUCUCUUCUACUUUGUAAUUCUGUUCUGAAAUUACCUUCACCGUGUCCUAGUGUCUCACUCUGUGGAGGCGGAAAAGUCAUGAGAGCAAGGAGAAAGGGGUCUGGUUUCACUUCUCUUGUAGGUAUAGCGGCAGACUAGGAUUCACAACCGAUGAUCAGCAGUACCCAAGAACAGCCCACAGUGAAGCUGGAGACCACAAAAGGCCCACAGCCCACACCUCUGCAGAGCAUUUUGGAGAAGACAGGUGGAGGAUAAAGUAAGGCCAAACCUCAUGACUGGCCGGUGACUUGGUGAAGGCUGUCCCUGAGCAAAAGAAUCCAGUGUUUGUAAGACCUUUCAUACACCUGCUAACUGUAACAACCCACAGAUCUGCCACCAAAAUAAACAUAGCCUUUUCCAAAGUGCUGUAAAAAGUCUAAAAUGUCUGAACUUCAUUACCAAAGGUUGGUAGUGAUUCAAAAUAUACUAGCAGGGCUUCCCUGGUGGCGCAGUGGUUGAGAGUCCGCCUGCCGAUGCAGGGGACACGCGUUCAUGCCCCGGUCCAGGAGGAUCCCACAUGCCGUGGAACGGCUGGGCCCAUGAGCCAUGGCCGCUGAGCCUGCGCGUCCGGAGCCUGUGCUCCGCAACGGGGGAGGCCCGCGUACCAAAAAUAAAAAAGAAAGAAAAAAUAUAUAUACUAGCAGAGGAGAUCAAAUUAAGAAGAUGAAGUAAAGACAAUUAUGGAAAUUCUAAUUAAGGUAAGCAUUCAAAUAUAUGUAAUAAAUGUUUGUGGAGAAAUUUUGUAAAAUACAUAUACAAUAUAACAGAUUGGAAUUCCUGCUAAAUCUUGGAGUAUUUCCCUCCAAUAGUACGUAUAUGAUAUAUUCCUUUCACUCUAGAUACAUAAUUUUUCACUUUUAACAACUCUGGUAUAGAAAUUCAUUUUAGAAUAAAUGGUGUCUUAAAAAAUCACUGUCAAAGUUAGAAAAAAAAUUGCGGUCUAACCUGCAUUACUUCCCAUUUCUUCCAGGGAAUUGAUGUUUGCCUUUAUCUGGGGGAACUACUAACUGUAAACACUUUAACUUCUCUCUUUGCUUGCAGAUUUUUGCACCAUGCUGGUGGAAGGAACCGAAACCAGUCUGAAUGAAGAUCAGCUGGUUCUUUUGCGGUCCCGUUCCAGAUGGGACAUUUACCCUGACUCUGAGGUUGUUCUAGCUUUAUGGUAGGGUCUCCUAUCAGAAUCCACAUCUUCGGUGUUACUUUUAUUGUUGUUUUCCUUUCUUACUUAGUGCCAGAGAAAAUGCUGCCUCUUCCGACUAACAGUAUCUUAGAUGAAAUACAGUAUAUUUGAAAUAAUGAUUAUGCAACUUAAGAAACACAUAGACAAUAUUUUCCACACCUUAAGUAUUCCUCAAAGACAUUAUUUUAAUGAUUGCCCAUGAUUCAUAUAAUCCAUAAUUCAUUAUUUAUUCUCAUUUUUGUAGAUUUCUAUUGCUUCUAAUUUUUAUUACAGAAUAAAGCUGUAAUGAACAUCAUUUUCAUAUCUUCAUGUCAUCCUGAUAAUUUCUUCAGAAUAAAUUCCUAAAAAUUUAUUGGACUUCAAAAUUUAUUGGCAAAACUAUGUAUAGCAAAAUUGACCUAUAGAAAUGAGCAUCACUUUACAUAACUACCAGCAUUAAUAUAAGGAGCCUACUUUCCCUAAACUUAAGAAAAAUUGUGAAGUUUCAUAUGUAAAAAAACUUUCUCAAUUGUUGAUUAAUUUGCAUUUAUAUCUGUGGCUGACUGUUUCAUGUUUUUGUUGGCCAUUUGCAGCUCUUCACUUGUGGGUCAUCUCCUGAUGUCAUUUGACUAUUUUUCUAUUGGGAUGUUAGUCUUUUUAUGUUAGAAUAAUUUUUACUUGUAGAAUAUUACUGCAAAUCAUAUAUAGUGCUAACAUCUUUCAAUUUCCUUGUCUUUUCAUUUGUUCUUAGACGUUUUGGAUGUACUGAUCAUUUUAAUAUAACCAAACAUGUUUCUUUAUGGUUUCUUUCUUUGUUUCUGUGCGUAACCCUCUAUCAAAUGUUUUCCUCUGAUUUUUUUAUUAGUUAUUUUGUGACUAUUUUUCAAUUCUUUAUUCCUCCUGGAAUUUAUCUGGGUAUGUGUAGAAGACUCUUUACAAGUGAAAACACAGAAGACUGAAACUACUGUAGAUACCACAUUGAUGAUAUAAAAUCUAACGUGAAAACAGAACUGAAGGGGCUUCCUUGGUGGCGCAGUGGUUGAGAGUCCGCCUGCCGAUGCAGGGGACACGGGUUCAUGCCCCGGUCCGGGAGGAUCCCAUAUGCUGCGGAGCGGCUGGGCCCGUGAGCCAUGGCCGCUGGGCCUGCGCGUCCGGAGCCUGUGCUCUGCAAUGGGAGAGG